rnacentral:lncRNA from 1 species
AAGGUUUGUGUUUCUUUGGGCAGGAGCCUACUGUGAUCAGAGCUGGGGGAGCCAGUGUGAGCAGCAGGUGCAAUGAAAGGAUGUGGGAGUUUGAGACCCAUCUCUGCUGUGUGGCCCUGGCCAUGUGCAGUGGGUAAGUACAUCAGCAAGCAAACUGGCCUCAAGAAUCCCGCCCUAUCCUGGGCAUCUGGGGUUGAGGCUGGCUGUGCCAACCUUUGCACAGGGUUUCAAUCUGACCUCACUCAGAAAACGGAGCCACUUGCUUAGAGUCCCUCUCUCUGAACACGCUCUCCCCUCUGGAGGAAAAGCAUUGCAAUCCCAAGCUCCUGCUGCUGCCGUACAUCUGCAUCUUAUUCAUCUUUGAAGCUCCUGCAAUGCCUCCAACGGGGACACAACUAAAGGAAGCUCUCAGAACGCCCAGCUAUCCCCACUGCAGAAGGCUCUCCCUGAAAGGGCACAGGUGGAGGACGUUUGCAUUUAUCUGGAGACAGUUCAUGGAGAAACACAAAGAGGUGUCCUGACAAGACAACAGGUCCACAGCAGUCGUCAUCAUGAGUGCUCACCAUAUGCCAGGGUUCAUCUUUUAAAAUCCUUAACCAAACAACCAAACUGUGGUUGGGAUUAUUCUCUUUUUAUAGGUGAGAAAACUGAGGCUGAAAGCCAUUGGGUGGUUUGCCAAAGCUGAGAAGUAGCUGAGCUGGGGUUUGUACUCACACCACGGUGACUCGGAGGCCCAAGCCAGUUCUGACACACUGCCUUCCCAUGACAUUCCCACGACAGGUUCCCGAGGUCGUUGGAAUGCUUACACAUUUCAGCAACUUCAUGGCAACUGCCCAGCUCGACCCAGAAGAUAAUACUACCUUGUACUCCCCCUGCCGCUUCCUUCCUCCAGGCAGCUCACAGACAUGACCUCAUUCCCUCUCCCAGAGUCCCAUAGGGGUGAAGGACAGGGUGGGGAUCGUUAACUCUGCUUCCUAGGGAGGAAAGGGAGGCCCAGAGAGGGAUGCUGGCCCACCCUGGGUCAUCCAGCCAGCUAGCGGGAGAGCUGCAACUGGAAAUCAGGCUUCCCUGCCCUCGGGGACAGUUAUUUAGCCUCCUGGAUGUGAGCUAGAAUCACCCCUAAGAUGCAGCAAUUGGGGUACUCCUCUUGGGGUACUGGGACUCAGUGGCUGAAACAGCUCCAAGAGAGUUGGGCCUGUGCUGAAAACAGAAAUCCGAGAUGCAUAUAAAUUCAAUCCGUAUGAGAAGAGCAGGGUGGCCUGGGAGGAGUGGUCACCGCAGUGGCUCCACCUCCUACCCGGCCACCUGCAGCCCUGCCUGGGCUGCUCUUGGUCUCUCUGUGCCCAGCUUCCCUGGCCGGAUGCCCUGGGGGCCAGAGCAGCCGCAGGUGCGAUGAAAAGAACACUGGCCUUGAGGUCAUGGGACCUGGGGAGGAUAUUCACCAGGGGCCCCUAAGUUAGUCAUUUUAGCUCUCAGCUUUUCCAUUUUUCAUUCAAAAAAUGGGGACUCUAACUCCAUGAAAGAGACAUUGUGUGUGAAAUAUUUCAUCAUAAGCUGUGAAGCCUGCAAAGAAACUCCUGGUGUUCUCUGUAGCCUGAUUUCAUCUCUACUAAACGCUAUUUUGAAAAUG